rnacentral:rRNA from 1 species
GACGAACGCUGGCGGCGUGCCUAAUACAUGCAAGUCGAACGCAGUGGGGACGGGUGAGUAACACGUGGGUAACCUCCCCUCAGAUGGGAUAACACUUGGAAACCGGUGCUAAACCGCUACUGAUGGAUGUACCCGCGGUGCAUUAGCUCGUUGGUGAGGUAAAGGCACACCAAGGCCACGAUGCAUAGCGGAGCUGAGAUGGUAGUCGGCCACAGUGGAACUGAGACACGGCCAAGACUCCUACGGGAGGCAGCAGUAGGGAAUAUUCGGCAAUGGACGAAAGUCUGACCGAGCAACGCCGCGUGAGUGAAGAAGGUUUUCGGAUCGUAAAAAUCUGUUGUUAGAGCAGCGGUAUCUAACCAGAAAGCCACGGCUAACUACGUGCCAGCAGCCGCGGUAAUAC